UUUUUUUUUUAUAAUUUUUUUAAAUUAGCAACUGACUUUUUCGUUGUUAAAUUAAUUACAAAUAGCAAAUAAUUUAUAAAAUGAUUAUAAAAUUAUAAAAUUAAAGACACUAAAUUUUUUACAAUUGAUUAUAUUUCGGUUAUUAGUAGCAACUAAUAAUUUUUUUAGCAUAAUUUUUUUUAAUUUAAUUAAUUUAGCAAUGAUUCAAUUAUCGGCAAUCAAAUUUAUUGUAAUCGACUGAAUCGAUUGCUCAAUCGAUUAGCAACUAAUUUUAAUAGAUUAGCAACCGAUUAGUUCCGAAUUUUUUUUUAUGUCCAUCACCUAUUAACUUUAAGAUUUUGUUUUAUUUUCAUCUCUCCACUUUACUUUACUUUAUUUUAUUUUAUUUUAUUAAAUCCAUUGUCCUUCCCUUUCCCCCUUCUCUUUAAUUGAUGAUUAUUUAUUAAUAAAAUUAUUUUAUUUCAUUAAAAAAUUUUAUAUAUUAAAUUUUUAAUAAAAUUAUUUAUUAAUUUAUAUUUUCUAUUUAUUAUUAAUAUUUUAAUACUUAAAUUUUAUUAAAUUAAUUAUUUUAUAAUACUACGAUUAAUCUGAAAGAUGCGAUUUAAAAAU
rnacentral:misc_RNA from 1 species